UACAGAGGGUGCAAGCGUUAAUCGGAAUUAUUGGGCGUAAAGGGCGCGUAGGUGGGGAAAUAAGUCGGUGGUGAAAUCCCUGGGCUUAACCUAGGAAUUGCCACUGAUACUGUUUGUCUAGAGUGAAGUAGAGGGUAGCGGAAUUUCCGGUGUAGCGGUGAAAUGCGUAGAUAUCGGAAAGAACACCGGUGGCGAAGGCGGCUACCUGGACUUUGACUGACACUGAGGCGCGAAAGCGUGGGGAGCGAACAGG
rnacentral:rRNA from 1 species